AGUUCUUCUACUGCUAAGUAGCAAUCAACAUGUCUCAGAUAUUUGGCUAAGUUCCAAGAUGUGGUUUCACAUCCAGUGUUUGCAGGCUGCUGCUCCCUCCUUUGAGACUGCUAACUCCGAUUCCUAGAAGAGCAGAGAAAACCAGAAAAUGAGUAUCUAUCCAAUCUGGAGC